UCCAGAUAAAAAAUUAGCAGAGUUGAUGAAAAUUAUUCUCAAUAAAAGGGGAUGACGCUCGUCGACGCGAAACGAAGUUAAUUAGUCUAGAGAACACGGGAGCAACCGAUUGAGACCAAUCGCAUUGACAAUAUUGUUUUGCGCUCCAUCCUCUACUCACAAAUAGUUUUGCAGUCUAGUGACGUAUAUAUCUCUCGUAAGAGAUCGAUCCAGAAUCCCUUUUACAUACUUCGGGAUAAGUGAAAAAUGAUUCUACACUUCGGGGUAUCAAAUCUAUCAAUCAAUUCGGAUGGAAAGAAUUUUGCGGUUAUGACUAAGCCACGGAAAAUUGGAUAAUCACUCGAAGGGUAUUCGAGGAAUUAACUCGAAGGUUUAUAGUAUCAAAGCUGAUCUACGAGCUUCAUAGUCGAGACAUUGACGUAAGCCGACGUCCGUUCGUCUA